ACAAAAUGUAGAAGGUAUAUAAAUCCUCGUGCUUCAGGAUAUAAGCCUACCACUAACUGAUGGGGGUCAGGAAGAAACUUCUCCUAUGGGCAGAUCAUUUCUUCAGAUAAAGAAUAUUUCUUCUCCCAACCUGCCCUGCCUCACACCUACAGUACCCCGCAGCAACAAGAGAGCUCAGUGACGUGAAAAGAAUGGAACAUGACAACAGUGAAGACGACGACAGCGGAGACACCUCCAAAGAAAUG